rnacentral:rRNA from 1 species
CCUACGGGAGGCUGCAGUAGGGAAUAUUGCGCAAUGGGCGAAAGCCUGACGCAGCGAUGCCGCGUGAGUGACGAAGGUCUUAGGAUUGUAAAGCUCUUUUCUGAGGGAAGAAUAGGUCUGGUAGGAAAUGACUGGAUUCUGACGGUACCUCAGGAAUAAGGAACGGCUAACUCCGUGCCAGCAGCCGCGGUAAUACGGAGGUUCCAAGCGUUGUUCGGAAUUACUGGGCGUAAAGGGAGCGCAGGCGGACAGGUCAGUUUAAAGUGGAAUCCCAG